UACGUAGGGGGCAAGCGUUGUCCGGAUUUAUUGGGCGUAAAGAGCUCGUAGGCGGUUUGUCGCGUCUGCCGUGAAAGUCCGGGGCUCAACUCCGGAUCUGCGGUGGGUACGGGCAGACUAGAGUGAUGUAGGGGAGACUGGAAUUCCUGGUGUAGCGGUGAAAAUGCGCAGAUAUCAGGAGGAACACCGAUGGCGAAGGC
rnacentral:rRNA from 1 species